rnacentral:rRNA from 1 species
UACGGAGGGAGCUAGCGUUGUUCGGAAUUACUGGGCGUAAAGCGCACGUAGGCGGCUUUGUAAGUUAGAGGUGAAAAGCCCGGGGCUCAACUCCGGAACUGCCUUUAAGACUGCAUCGCUUGAAUCCAGGAGAGGUGAGUGGAAUUCCGAGUGUAGAGGUGAAAUUCGUAGAUAUUCGGAAGGAACACCAGUGGCGAAGGACGGCUCACUG